rnacentral:rRNA from 1 species
GAUGAGAGUUUGAUCCUGGCUCAGAUUGAACGCUGGCGGCAGGCUUAACACAUGCAAGUCGAGCGGAGAUGAGGUGCUUGCACCUUAUCUUAGCGGCGGACGGGUGAGUAAUGCUUAGGAAUCUGCCUAUUAGUGGGGGACAACAUUCCGAAAGGAAUGCUAAUACCGCAUACGUCCUACGGGAGAAAGCAGGGGAUCUUCGGACCUUGCGCUAAAUGAUGAGCCUAAGUCGGAUUAGCUAGUUGGUGGGGUAAAGGCCUACCAAGGCGACGAUCUGUAGCGGGUCUGAGAGGAUGAUCCGCCACACUGGGACUGAGACACGGCCCAGACUCCUACGGGAGGCAGCAGUGGGGAAUAUUGGACAAUGGGCGGAAGCCUGAUCCAGCCAUGCCGCGUGUGUGAAGAAGGCCUUUUGGUUGUAAAGCACUUUAAGCGAGGAGGAGGCUACCUGGAUUAAUACUCUGGGAUAGUGGACGUUACUCGCAGAAUAAGCACCGGCUAACUCUGUGCCAGCAGCCGCGGUAAUACAGAGGGUGCGAGCGUUAAUCGGAUUUACUGGGCGUAAAGCGUGCGUAGGCGGCUUUUUAAGUCGGAUGUGAAAUCCCCGAGCUUAACUUGGGAAUUGCAUUCGAUACUGGGAAGCUAGAGUAUGGGAGAGGAUGGUAGAAUUCCAGGUGUAGCGGUGAAAUGCGUAGAGAUCUGGAGGAAUACCGAUGGCGAA